GCCCUGCUGCCCUGUAGUCCUGCUGGGGUGCCAUACCUGUUGCCCUGACGCCCUGCAAGAUCUGCAGCCCUGCCUCCCUGCUGCCCUGUAGCAUUGCUGCCCUGCUGCCCUGCUGCUCUUCUGCCCUGCAACCCUGCCUACCUACUGCCUUGCAUCCCUGCCGCACUGUGAGGCUUGUAGCAUUGCCGCCCUACACCCUGAACCCUGCAGCCCUGGGAGGCCUGUAGCCCUGCAGCCCUGCUGCUCUUCAGCCCUUCUGCCCUGCUGUCCUGCAUCCCUGAUGCCCUGUUGCCAUGCAGCCCUCCGAGGCCUGCCACCCUUCCACCCUGCUGCCCUACCUCCCUGCAGCCCUGCCGCCCUGGUAGGCCUACAGCCAUGCCGCCCUGCUGCCUGGCCACUCAGUGACCCUGAGAGGCCUGCAGCCCUGCCGCAAUGCUUCCCUGCUGCCUUGCCACCCUGCUACCCUGCAGCCCUUCCAGCAUGCUUCUCUGCAGCCCUACUGCCCUGCUGCCCUGCAGCCCUGCUGCCCUGCAAGGCCUGCAGCCCGGUCACCAGUGUCACCCACCCGGCCUUUAAGGUUUCUGAGCAGACACUGGACCCUGACCUGACUGGACGCUGCCUCCUCCGGCUCCCUCUCACUUACAGACACUACUUGGCCAUCUUAAAGACACAGACAGUGGUCCUGUAUGAGAUUAAGCCAUUUAACAUAUUUAUUGUGAUUUCAACAUUCAAAGGGAUCGACUCAGCCCCUGUUCAUCAGAGGGAAGAUAAAGUGCACACUGGGCAGAACCUUUUGUGAGGCUCUAUCUGUGAAAAUCAUAACAUUGCUUAAACCCCAUGUAUACUCAAAAUCUCUGUAACACGUUUUGUUAGAAAUAAAUAGUUUCCUGGAAGUUCUGUGCCUGAAGUU
rnacentral:lncRNA from 1 species